GUGGUGGUGCAAUUUUAUUGGCAGCCGCCUUUGUCUUUUUGCAAGUCCCACCCAACUGCAGACUCCAUCUACGUACGGCUUGCGUUGCCCCGUCAUUCUUUCGGCUUCUGCUACACGGACUAGGUGACUGCAAUUUUCAGCGAUGCAACUGGUGCAGACUGUCGCUAGAGGGCGCACCCCCGCCUGCCUUGCAGUCUGCAGACUCGCUGUCCCUCUUGUCGUCGGAGUCUGAGAAUUCAGCUCUGCCCUCUUGAGGCCGUCAGGUAAACUCGUCACAUGGCGAAGUGGGUGCACCGCGACGUGUGGUAAACGGGACUCGGUAACACAUCCUGUACAUGUGAAAUUACGUAUUAAAUACUGUUUGAAUCUGUAUUAAAUACUGUUUGAAUCUGAACUGUUUAAGGAUAUUUUUUCUUUGGGUUGGCAGUGUGUAAAUGUCAUUUGUCCUUGAGACUUUAUAAUCCAGCAAGUGAAAAUGUCCAGAAAUCCACCGGCAGUAAGUUUGUAGCAAGUUUUUUAUUUCAGGCCAGUGUCUGCUGCCAUGGUUACCAAUCUUGCUCUGCAUGCUAAAUGUGUGGGAUUUUGUUUUCCUUUGCAGAUCUGUUCAGAGCAUAACUAACAUACAAACAUUUUUGCAGGUGCUUCCUGGUGAUUUGUGGUGGUUAAAAUUUUAAUUUGUCAGUAUGCAUCGCAGGUCGCACUGCCGGCAACGGUCUCUGAACGUCUGUGAGGAGCGAAGG